CAGGAAUGAAAUGUGAGGUCUGAUACCUGUUACCAGUUGGGUUGCAAAACAUAUUGGCUGCAUAGUCAGCACUGUUGCCACUGAUGCAGUUCAGAGAUUGAGAAGAAAUAGAGCAGAAACACGUACAUUGUAGAAUAUUUCUCGUAAGAGUUCAUUUCAUUUAACAAAAAAUGUAUGGUGCAAGAUCCCCCAAAGAUGAUGUGCCACUUUAUUUCAAUGACAUUAAUGACAGCAGCCAGCCAGGUUGCUCAAGAUUCACGUUGAAAAUUGACAUACAGUAUAUCCAUGUCCUGAGGAUGUCGGGAGAUGCCUUCAAAACCCGACACUAGGGGCAACGAUGCUAUGCAUCCAACGAUUGAUCUCCUUGCCACAUUCCCAUUCGGAGAGUUCCGAGAAUCCAUCUCCUUAGCCUCAGCACGUGCCUUUUAAGGAGAAGCUGCUGUGCUGCCACCAGAACCUGCUGCCACCACAUCUGUCUGUCUGUCUGAUGCUUCCUACCCUACUUGCCUACAAUCAAAUCGGGCUACUGGUAAUCCUAGCCCCCCUGCUUCAAAGAGGGAUUGCCAAUCGGGAAAGACAGCUUUUCCCCUGGCCAGGAAACAUCCGCAAUACCAAUACCAGGAAACAUCCGGAAUACCAAUACCAGGAAACAUCCGGAAUACCAAUACCGGUCUUGCCUUACUGUUUCAUCAUGAAUCAGUGCAUCCUCCACCCUCCCUCGGUCUCAGCGAGCCUCCAGCACAGAAGCUGACUGCUAGUGGGCAGAGGGGGUGGCAUAAUGGCUUGGGAAAUCACUGCUUACCAUUCUGUUUCACAUCCAAUUGGUGAUUCAGUACACAGGUUUGAACUGGUUUAGAAUCACGGCUUGCUAUGUAGGUGCAUAGGUCCUACAGCAACCUUUUUGUGGUUACUAUGUCUCUCCUGUGAAAUGACAGCAACACAGCCAAAUUGUGCAAACUUUACCUAGGUGUGUAUUCAUGUUUGAUGAUGAUUGAUCAUGAUGAGUAGAAGGGGGAUGAAGAUGAUGACAAUGAUUGUCUGAACAGUACUUUCAGUAUUGGUUUCAGCCCUCUCUUUCCUGCACCUUUCAUGCCACCCAGCUCUCUGAAAGGUCCAUAGAAGGCCAGCAUCCCUGAGUCACCUCUUCACUGUUGACGUUGAGACUGGUGUUUUGCGGGGUACUAUUUAAUGAAGCUGCCAGUUGAGGACUUGGGAGGCGACUGUUUCUCAAACUAGACACUCUAAUGUACUUGUCCUCUGGCUCAGUUCUGCAUUGGGGCCUCCCACUCCUCUUUCUAUUCUGGUUAGGGCUAGUUUACACUGUUCUGUACGAGAUGUUCAGUUUCUUGGCAGUUUCUCGCAUGGAAUAGCCUUCUUUUCUCAGAACAAGAAUAGACUGAUGAGUUUCAGACUAAAGUUAUUUGUUUCUGGCCAAUUUGAGCAUGUAAUUGAACCCACAAAUGCUGAUGCUCCAAAUACUCAACUAGUCUAAAGAAGGACAGUUUUAUUGCUUCUUUAAUCAGUACAACAAUUUUCAGCUCUGCUAACAUAAUUGAAAAAGGGUUUUCUAAUGAUCAAUUAGCCUUUUAAAAUUAUGAACUUGGAUUAGCUAACAAAACGUGCCAUUGGAACACAGGAGUGAUGGUUGCUGAUAAUGGGCCUCUGUACACCUACAGUUGGGCAAAAAAGUAUUUAGUCAGCCACCAAUUGUGCAAGUUCUCCCACUUAAAAAGAUGAGAGGCCUGUAAUUUUCAUCAUAGGUACACUUCAACUAUGACAGACAAAAUGAGGGGAAAAAAAAACAGAAAAUCACAUUGUAGGAUUUUUAAUUUAUUUAUUUGCAGACCGGUAACUUCUUCUUUAAGAGGCUCCUCUGUCCUCCACUCGUUACCUGUAUUAAUGGCACCUGUUUGACCUUGUUAUCAGUAUAAAAGACACCUGUCCACAACCUCAAACA
rnacentral:lncRNA from 13 species